GAGUUUGAUCAUGGCUCAGAUUGAACGCUGGCGGCAUGCCUUACACAUGCAAGUCGAACGGCAGCACGGGAGCUUGCUCCUGGGUGGCGAGUGGCGAACGGGUGAGUAAUGCAUCGGAACGUAUCCUGGAGUGGGGGAUAACGUAGCGAAAGUUACGCUAAUACCGCAUAUUCUGUGAGCAGGAAAGCGGGGGACCUUCGGGCCUCGCGCUCUUGGAGCGGCCGAUGUCGGAUUAGCUAGUUGGUGAGGUAAAGGCUCACCAAGGCGACGAUCCGUAGCAGGUCUGAGAGGAUGAUCUGCCACACUGGAACUGAGACACGGUCCAGACUCCUACGGGAGGCAGCAGUGGGGAAUUUUGGACAAUGGGGGCAACCCUGAUCCAGCCAUGCCGCGUGAGUGAAGAAGGCCUGGUUGUAAG
rnacentral:rRNA from 1 species